AGGAAAAAGCAGCUAUGGCAACGCCGGCGCAUGAGGCUUGAAGAGGGAGUCGAGCUAACAGAGGUAUAGUUUUUCUUAUGGAAGAAAACCCAAUUAUUUCAUGAUGGCAUUUGCACCUCCAAAAAGCACAGAUGGUCCCAAAAUGCAGACAAAGAUGAGUACCUGGACACCCUUAAACCAUCAGCUUUUGAAUGACCGGGUAUUUGAAGAAAGAAGAGCACUGCUUGGAAAAUGGAAGAAAAGAGAGAUUUGGACUCCGGUAAAGUGGCUCAUUCAGCUGUUUGACAAAUGGACAGACUCCCAAAGGAGAAGAAUCCUGGCUGGCCUGUUAGAACGCUGCUCCCUGUCACAGCAAAAGUUCUGCUGUCGAAAGCUUCAGGAAAAGCUUCCAGCAGAAGCUCUGGAUUUUACUACGAAGCUUCCAAGGGUGUUAUCCUUAUACAUCUUUUCUUUCCUGGACCCCCGAAGCCUCUGUCGUUGUGCACAGGUGAGCUGGCACUGGAAGAACUUAACUGAGCUGGAUCAGCUCUGGAUGCUCAAAUGUUUACGGUUUAACUGGUACAUCAAUUUCUCUCCAACUCCCUUUGAGCAGGGUAUAUGGAAGAAGCACUAUAUUCAAAUGGUGAAAGAACUUCAUGUUACCAAGCCUAAGACUCCUCCUAAAGAUGGAUUUGUGAUUGCUGAUGUUCAACCAGUGACUGGCAGCUCUCCAGAGGAAAAGCAGUCACCUUCCUCAGCUUUCCGAUCUUCUUCCUCUUUGAGAAAGAAGAAUCACCCAGGGGAGAAAGAACUCCCACCCUGGCGGUCCUCUGACAAGCAUCCCACUGAUAUCAUUCGCUUCAAUUACCUGGACAAUUGUGACCCCUUUGAGCAGACCUGGCAAGGGAACAGUCAAAUGGACAAAGUUUUAAAAGGAUUAUUUGUCAUUUCUCCAAUGCUUUCCAACUUACAGAAGAAAGAAAAGACAAGAAAUGACCCCAGAUCCCAGCCGACAGUCACAUGAUAAGAGAAAUAAAUUGCAGGGCAGAUCUAAGCUCAGAAAAGCACAGUCACUGAAUCAUCAAGCGGUGGUUUAAAUCCUGCUCUCUGAAACUAACUGACAAGCUGUGUAACCUUGGAUUUGCUCUUUAUUUAAUCUCUCUGAGCCCCCGUUUUCUCACCUAUGUAAAAAAGAAAUGAUUAGAUGAACUGAUGUGUAUGCUUCUGCUUUGAGACCUAUACAAUAGAAAGGGAACAUUGUUAUCACUUGGUUUUAAUUCUGCUACGAGUCCUUUUGGGGGUGGGAUAGAAGGAGCUAUAGAAACCUCUCUACAGAAAUUACUUCUCUAUAGAGUGAAGGUUCCACUGACCUAAGAAAAAGGUGCGCUUUCCAUGUCUUUUCUGCUACCAGCGGAGUAUGAUCAAAACAGCGCAUUUCAAGUGACUUCAGAAAAAGUGAAUUCAGAACUUUUCUUUCCCUAAUGAAAAAAAUAGCUAAUUGACGACCUAAUAAAGUCAGUAAUUGUGUCGAGGGAGCAUUAUCAUUUCAUAGCCAAGUUUUCCAAACCGUGGUUCUUUGGCCCCAAUGGAUCCUUUUGAGCACAUAUGAGUCUUUAGUGCAAAGUAGAAGGGAAUAAGAGUGGAAUAAAAAGUUCGUAUUAUUAGUAAAGAUUUAGAAAAAAAGCUGAGGAUACACAGGCAAGGAAAAUGAACAUCAAAUGGAUGUCGACUGGGAGGAGAAUGCGUAUGUACUCACGAGUAAAUCACUUUGAUGGUUCUGCUUUAAGGCCCUAUUACUUUCUGUUUAAAUUUAUGUUCAAGUGUUAUUAGUUUCAAAAAGAGAGAGAGAUGAGCUUUUUAAAAUAGGGCAGUUUGUAUUCUGAGAGACCAAUUUUGUUGGGCCGGAUGAGGCUUAUCACAGGCAGAUGUACAAAUGCCCAAGGGAAUGGGAAUGCU